rnacentral:rRNA from 1 species
AGAGUUUGAUCCUGGCUCAGGAUGAACCUAGCGGGAGGCUUAAUACAUGCAAGUCGAACGGUAAGGUCCUCUUCGGAGGAUACACGAGUGGCGCACGGGUGAGUAACGCGUACAUAACAUACCUAUCAGUGGGGGAUACGCUUUGGAAACGAAGUAUAAUACCCCAUAGUUUUACAGAAUCGCAUGGUUUUGUGAAUAAAGCUCCGGUGCUGAUAGAUUGGUGUGCGUACUAUUAGGUAGUUGGUGAGGUAGAGGCUCACCAAGCCGACGAUAGUUAGGGGGCGUGAGAGCGUGAACCCCCACACGGGUACUGAGACACGGACCCGACUCCUACGGGAGGCAGCAGUAAGGAAUAUUGGACAAUGGAGGCAACUCUGAUCCAGCCAUCCCGCGUGCAGGAUGACAGCCCUAUGGGUCGUAAACUGCUUUUAUAUGGGACGAAUCGCCUUGAUUUAUUAGGGUUUGACGGUACCAUAAGAAUAAGCACCGGCUAACUCCGUGCCAGCAGCCGCGGUAAAGGGCGAAUUC